AAUAAACGAAUUUCUAAGUUUUUGAUAGAAUUUUUAACUCUUCGUCUUAUUUAAAAAUUUUUUAUAAUUAAUAGUUUUAUUGUUACUCUAUGAUAAAACAUGAAUGCUACUUUACAUAUAAUUAAUUUUUUGAUUUUUUUAAUAAAUUUUUCAAAUAAGACGAAUGGUCAAACACUAAAUCUAGAAAACCUAGA
rnacentral:pre_miRNA from 1 species